GGGUGUAGCUCAGUGGCAGAGUGCAUGCUUAGCACGCACGAGGUCCUGGGUUCAAUCCCCAGUACCUCCA
rnacentral:tRNA from 1 species